AGAGAAGAGGUUUAUCAUAUCAUUCCUCUCCUCCUCCUGCUAUUCUGAGGUGAACGUACAAAUGUAUCUUUGUACGUACAGAAGGUAUUCGAUAGUAAAAGUAGGCAUACGGAGCUGCAUCUAAUAAUGGAAAUCAAAGUAAGAGUCUUCAGAAGAUUUUAACUUUAGGAAGAGUUCUUAAUCUUCGUCAAAAUGGAUCAAGAUGAAAGAAAUUUACUUGCUGGCUCGUUCUGUCUAGUUAGAAUAUUGUCCAUUAGAUCAUUUUCAGCUAUUUACUGUAA